CUCAGGACGGAGCUGUGGAUAGAAUGAGGAUAUUUUGCAGUGCAUAUGUGGAAAAGAAAACUACCUCACAAAGGAGAUGGGGGAACAGAGCUGGCAUGAGAGCUUCCUCACUUUCUCAUUUGCAGCUGUCAGCAAAACCUGAAUUGGCAGUUUGCAGACACAGCAUUCAGAAGAUAGAACAGGUAUUUUAAACAAGUCAAACGCAGCAGCUGGAAAAAAAACACCACACUUAAAAAAAGGUAAGAGCACACACUGUUCUUGUGAAGCAUUAGUAAUCACAAUAAAUAGCAUAUUAGGUUACUACA
rnacentral:lncRNA from 14 species